UACGUAGGGUGCGAGCGUUGUCCGGAAUUAUUGGGCGUAAAGAGCUUGUAGGCGGUUUGUCGCGUCUGCUGUGAAAAUCCGGGGCUCAACCCCGGACUUGCAGUGGGUACGGGCAGACUAGAGUGUGGUAGGGGAGACUGGAAUUCCUGGUGUAGCGGUGAAAUGCGCAGAUAUCAGGAGGAACACCGGUGGCGAAGGCGGCACUCUGGGCCGGUACUGACGCUGAGGAGCGAAAGCGUGGGGAGCGAACAGG
rnacentral:rRNA from 1 species